rnacentral:rRNA from 1 species
GUGGGGAAUAUUGCGCAAUGGGGGAAACCCUGACGCAGCAACGCCGCGUGAUUGAAGAAGGCCUUCGGGUUGUAAAGAUCUUUAAUUGGGGACGAAUAAAUGACGGUACCCAAAGAAUAAGCACCGGCUAACUCCGUGCCAGCAGCCGCGGUAAUACGGAGGGUGCAAGCGUUAUCCGGCUUCACUGGGUUUAAAGGGUGCGUAGGCGGGUUGAUAAGUCAGUGGUGAAAGCUCCGGGCUUAACUUGGAAACUGCCAUUGAUACUGUCAGUCUUGAAUGUCGUAGAGGUAAGCGGAAUGUUGCAUGUAGCGGUGAAAUGCUUAGAUAUGUUACAGAACACCAAUUGCGAAGGCAGCUUACUAUGCGAUAAUUGACGCUGAGGCACGAAAGCGUGGGGAGCAAACAGGAUUAGAAACCCCUGUAGUCC